CCUCCUCUUAGUUCUGAGAGAUAAAGAUGCUGUAUUUUACCAUGAUACGAUUUAAUUUGAUUUGGAACCUGCUUGCAACAUGGUUGCACUUUAUAUGGUUCAGUUCAGUGGAGAAGAAGAGCCUUGUUCCAAAUAUGCUAAGGACUGGCUAAAGCUCAGUGCCAUAAAACUUAUUAAGAACAUGCUUUAGUGUUCUGUGUUGGGAAAAACUACUGUAUUAUAUCAUUCUGAACAUAGUUAAAAUUUAAAAUGGAUCCGGGCACAUCUUAUAAUCUAUUUUAAUAAUAUCCAUAGUAAACAUAACUGUAACAACUGCCAGAAAAUGUCAAC